CGGCAGGAUAGGACAUUUCGCAUAUUUAAUGACAGAACUGUAAAACAGCUGUGGGGCCUUCCAUUUCUCGGAAAGCCAGUGAUGGAUGCUGGGAAAUCCAAGAUCAAGGCAUUGGCAAAUUUGAUGUCUGGGACUAAUCCAUUCAACAAACAUUUAUGCACCCCUGCUAUGUAUGAGGCACUGCACCUGCUACUGGAGACACAUAAUCAAACAAGUUUCCAUUCUUGCCUUCAAGAAACUCAAAGCCUUUCUUCGCUGGUUCUUAUUACAGGAUUUUUUGGGGAAGGAUUACUAAAGGAAUCUACAACAUAUUGAUGAACUGGCCAGCCUGGGAAACAUGAAUUACACAAUUCCCUCCAUUUGACCUGCCUACUGGGAGGAGGAGAGAA